CCUGCUUCACAAAAGGGGGGAAAUGAAAGUUGAUGGUCAGCCAUCUGACCAUCCAUUAUGAGAUCAGCGGCUGUGGGCCGCAGGAGUGCUCAGCGGCUAAGAAGUUCCGGUCCCGAAUGCACAGAGGUACUGGGAAGGGAAAGUGUGCCUGCAGGUUGUGAGUUUGGUUCCAGUUGCUUCUGCGUUGUCCCAGUGCCCUCCAGAGCUGCUGGCAUCUGUCCCACCCCGUCUAUCGAAAGAUGGUUUGGACUAGUAAUGCAUACAUAACUGGAGGGUGAAGAAGCCAUGGUGGGAGAAGCUUUCUACUGAAAGGGCAGGCAACUCUGAAAGGGGCAUUAGAGUCCAGGAGAAAUGAAGUUUGAAACAACCAAAAACACAACUCAACACAGAUCCCCAUGAUUGGUAUUUUCCUGGGGCAGAGUCUCCCUUCCCUCUCUGUCUUCUCUCCAGGCACCUCCUCCCUCCCUGACACCCGCCGGGUGGCCCAAUUCUCUUUCCCCAAGAAGCACUAUUCCUCUAACAAAAAGGAGUAAGAUUCUCAACUCCUUCCUAUGACUCACAACUUGAGUAAUGCCUUGGGGCUUCAACCAGGCUUUGUUGAUGUUUUCCUCUUCUUGGGUGUGGUAAGCUCUGGAGAAAGAUACAGAUGGAUCCAAGACAUUGAUGAAUGGAAGUACUCCAAUCCCAGACCAGUCUUAGCACUUAUGGGAGCUACAGCUAAAGUUAACAGCAUAAUUUUCACCACCAUUACGGAACAUGAGAUCACGCAGAGAAAGCAACAAAGUGUCAUGUGCUUGUAGGUGAAGACUGGGUACAUGAGAAGUAC
rnacentral:lncRNA from 1 species